UAGGGGGUAGUGUAGUGGAAGCACGAAGGGUUUUGAUCUCUUAUGUAUAGGUUCGAGUCCUAUCUUUCUAA
rnacentral:tRNA from 1 species